GACGAACGCUGGCGGCGUGCUUAACACAUGCAAGUCGAACGGAAAGGCCCUGCUUUUGUGGGGUGCUCGAGUGGCGAACGGGUGAGUAACACGUGAGUAACCUGCCCUUGACUUUGGGAUAACUUCAGGAAACUGGGGCUAAUACCGGAUAGGAGCUCCUGCUGCAUGGUGGGGGUUGGAAAGUUUCGGCGGUUGGGGAUGGACUCGCGGCUUAUCAGCUUGUUGGUGGGGUAGUGGCUUACCAAGGCUUUGACGGGUAGCCGGCCUGAGAGGGUGACCGGCCACAUUGGGACUGAGAUACGGCCCAGACUCCUACGGGAGGCAGCAGUGGGGAAUAUUGCACAAUGGGCGGAAGCCUGAUGCAGCAACGCCGCGUGCGGGAUGACGGCCUUCGGGCUGUAAACCGCUUUCGCCUGUGACGAAGCGUGAGUGACGGGAAUGGGUAAAGAAGCACCGGCUAACUACGU
rnacentral:rRNA from 1 species